UUUUUUCCAAUAUGUGCGCUGCUGGUGUUAAGUCUGAAUGAAGGAAGGGACUGGGAGUCAUUUCCUAACAUUGCUAUGGUUUGAAUGUGUCCCCUAAAUUUCAUGUCUUGGAAACUUAAUCCCCAAAUUCAAAUGUUGAUUGGAAGUGGAACCUUUAGGACAUAAUUAGGAUUAGAUAAGGUCAUCAGUGUGGGCCCCCACCCCCAUGAUGGAACUGGUGGCUUUAUAAGAAGAGGAAGAUAAGAAGGGAAAGAAAGACCUGAGCUGACAUGCACAUGCUUGACCACUUGUCAUGUGAUGCCCUUUGCCAUGUUGUGACACAGCAAGGAGGCCCUCACCAGACGCCAGUGCCAUGUUCUUGGACUUCUCAGCCUCCAUAUUCAUGAACUAAGUUUUUGGAAUCCUUAGGCUUCCACGUGUGGAAAGCCUGAGCUAACCUACUGGAGGAUGAGCCAUCACCUGGAGCAGAUUCAGGCCAUCCUAGUUGAAGCCUCCCUAGGCCAAGCAACCGUCCAACUACCAGACAUUGACCAUUCAGCCUUGAACAUUCAGCACAAAGACAAAACAGACCAGACCAGAAGAGUCCCACAGAAUAGGGGAAACUAUUCAGAGAAAACUUAAGCCACUAAGUUUUAUGGUGUUUUGUUCUGUAGCAGAAGCAUAGGCAUACUGACAAUACAAACCGAAA
rnacentral:lncRNA from 1 species